rnacentral:rRNA from 1 species
GGAGGUUAUGAAAAUUAAUGUAUGUGGGAACCUGCUUUUUUUAUAGAGGUGAAAUUUGUAUAAGGAGGGUUAGUCUUUUGUUUUCUUAUUUUGAAGCCUCGAAAGUUUAGUGUAAGACCGGGAUUAGAUACCCCGUUAUUUAUUCUAUAAACUUUAAUUUAUUGUAAUUUACUUGGGUAUUACGGGCUGCAGUGAAAUUGUUAGUAGCUUGCAGAUGGCUUAAAACUCAAAAAACUUGGCGGUGCCUUAAUUCUUUCCGGGGGAACCUGUCCUUUAAUCGAUGGUCCACGAUUUAGCUUACCUUAUUUUGAAUAUUAGUUUUGUUAUUAAUACAGCUUGUAUACCGUCGUCGUCAGAUUACCUUUAAGAGAUGAGAAGUUGUCGGGAGGAGUGGGUUCAUAUAGUUUGUCUUGUUUACACAGGCGGACUGGAGUUCUUAAUUCUAGAUGUCAGAUCAAGGUGCAGCUUAUGAUGAGGGAGAGAUGGGUUACAAUAGUUAUUUACUAAUACGGAUUUCGUUUUGUAAUAAAUGAAUUGAAGGUGGACUCGGGAGUAAUAUAAUUUUAAGUAGAUAGUUUUUGUGAAACUGGUGCUAAGGUGCGU